rnacentral:rRNA from 1 species
UACGUAGGGGCGAGCGUUGUCCGGAAUUAUUGGGCGUAAAGGGUUCGUAGGCGGUUAAAUAAGUCAGGUGUGAAAGCCAUAGGCUCAACCUAUGUAAGCACUUGAAACUGUAUAACUUGAGUUAAGGAGAGGAAAGUGGAAUUCCUAGUGUAGCGGUGAAAUGCGUAGAUAUUAGGAGGAAUACCAGUGGCGAAGGCGACUUUCUGGACUUAUACUGACGCUGAGGAACGAAAGCGUGGGGAGCAAACAGGAUUAGAUACCCGGGUAGUCCCUGAGCGGGCUGG